AAAUAAACAAAAUCAAACUUUUAGUUUGAAGACGCGGUUAUUCUGGAGACGGAUGUUAUCAUGAACACAAGAUUCUGCAGCUGUAGCUCCAUCAGUGUCUCUGGAGAGACCGAAUUUGCUCACUGCGUUACCUGAAGAAAACAUACAACCACAAGAUUCUGUUAAAAGCCAGCAGUGUGCAGAGGAGGGUCACGUUUCUAAAUUUCAUCCCGAAUCAUCAAGUAGUGGACAAGAGAACCCAGUGCAACCAUGUUUUAUAAGCAGCGGACCACAUCAACAUUAAAACAAUAAUUCUAGAC
rnacentral:lncRNA from 1 species